rnacentral:hammerhead_ribozyme from 1 species
AUCCAGCUGACGAGUUCCAAAUAGGAUGAAACACAAGUUAAACUGGAU